AUUCAACUGACGAGUCCCAAAUAAGACGAAACACGUGUCCCAGAU
rnacentral:hammerhead_ribozyme from 1 species